ensembl:lncRNA
CAGUGUUCCUGAUUAAGGUUAAGUCUUCUUGAAGAUUGGUGUACUGAACAAUUGCCUGGCUAACGCUUCCCUAACCCACGUCAAGCCACGAUCAUGUUUCAGACCUGAAACUAUGCGUCGGGAACCAAGAAGAGAGACAGACUUGAGAGUGAGGGACUAAAGAAGCAGACAGAUGCGAAAAUCUCUGCUCUAUGCAGCGUCCAGCCACUGUUUUUCCUCAGGCAUCCUUGGAGUCAUGCCUUGCACAUGCUCUAUUCCGGGGUCAACCAAGUAUUUAAGGGAAAUGGAAUAUCUCCUGGUGGAACAAUCAAAAUGAUCCUAAAGGCCAUGUCUUUGCAAAGCCAAAAUGAUCCGCAAAAACUUAAGCAUAUUGUCUCAAGUCCAGAAUCAAUCUCUCUGAAAAAAAAGAGGAAUUCGUGUUUCACAGAGGGAAGAGACGAAAAAGGUUUAAUGUCAUACGAGCUUUGGGAGAACUUCCUUGGGAUAGUACGACCAGAAUGGCUGCUCUUGUCCCAAAUCCUGGCUACAGCUAAGAAGAGAAUCACACACAAAGGUAAAAAUCUAAAGUUUCUCCUCAGAUUCUCCAACAACCCCUUUUUUCUCCUCUUUCCUACCUGUGGGCUUCCCUUCUCUCCACACCCAGGUACCAGUGACUUCUGACUGCCAGCACCUCUGUCUACACACUCUUCUCUCCCUUUCUUCCUGUCUCUGCAUAUGAGAAAGUUGGUAUAAGGCAUAGGUAAGUGAAUUCACACCACUGGAUUAUAAACUAGCUCUUCACGGUGAUGUUUCCAGUAUCUACAGAGUAACAUCUGGCAUACGGUAGCCGCUCAACAAAUAUCUGCUGAGUGCAAGACAGAAAAAGUGUGAAUUUCUAAGAGAUUUGUCUACUCUUCAGGGUAUUCACAUAGAGGAAUAACAUAACUACCACCAGUUACUUGCAGCUUAGAAGUCACUUUUACACAUUCAAAGGACAGGAUCUGUGCAUUUUCCAACAGCUCCGUGGUCUAGUUGACGUGUUAUUGUACAGAAGAAACCUCACAAACGACACCAUUUGGGAAACUUUUUCCCUGCUUACACAUGAACCUAAUCCUGCAUACCCAAUCAUUCUCUCUUGCAAAUAGGCCCUUUUGCUCUUUCUUCACAUUCCCACUGAAGUUCUUUUUUUUUUUUUUUUAUUUUUUUUUUCAACGUUUUUUAUUUAUUUUUGGGACAGAGAGAGACAGAGCAUGAACGGGGGAGGGGCAGAGAGAGAGGGAGACACAGAAUCGGAAACAGGCUCCAGGCUCUGAGCCAUCAGCCCAGAGCCUGAUGUGGGGCUCGAACUCACAGACCGUGAGAUCGUGACCUGGCUGAAGUCGGACGCUUAACCGACUGCGCCACCCAGGCGCCCCCCACUGAAGUUCUUCAUGAAGGACAAGAAAAAGUAGGCCUUUCUUUUUCUUUUCUUUUCUUUUCUUUUCUUUUCUUUUCUUUUCUUUUCUUUCUUUUCUUUUCCAUUGUUUUCUUUUCUUUUCUUUCUUCCUUCUUUCUUUUCUUUUCUUUCUUUUCUUUUCUUUCUUUCUUUUUUUCUUUCUUUCUUUCUUUCUUUCUUUUCUUUCUCAAUAGACUGUUCUGGAAUGUUUGGGGAAAAUCUUGGCUUUACACAGCCACUCCCUGUCUGGGAAGUCUCAGGCCAGCCUCUUGCAAUUUCUUUCCUCCUAUUUUUCCACUUCGUGUGUCCCUCCUGAGCAUGAUGUCCUGUUUCCUGAGGCAGGAACCUGUCUGCGGGCAAGGUUGGAGAGUUGAUGGCACUCUGGAGCCAGCUUUGUGGCAGCUGGUGACACAGUGGGCCUGACCUCAUCUAUUACUAAUUGUUGAAACUUGUGUAUGAAGGAACAUGUUAGUAACAGCACUCACCUCCAUCAGGCCACUCUCAGGCCUGGGCAGAGAAGACAGGCAGUGACUCACAUUAUGGCGAGAGAGAGCCCAGUCACCUCUGGGCUACGUGAAAAUGACAUGAAAGGAGGAAUCAGGAGAGGAAGCCCCCUCCUCACCCCUCCCAGCUCCCCACCAUCUGCACACUCCUCCCCACCCUGGUCUUUCCUAUAGCCUACCUCCUUGAAGCCAGCUCCCCUCUUCCCACCUCAUCAUGUAGUUCCAGCCACAUGGGAGGCGUGUGCUUCUCUAUAUGUAAUCUGCUUCUCACCUCUCUGCGCUUUUGCGCGUCAUUCCCUCUGCCUCUAAUGCUCUUCCUUCAAGUCUGUAUUGGUUUCGUCUCACUCUCACUUCAAAGCCCAACUCAAAUGUUUUCUGAGCUUUGCAACUUCCCCCCGAGCCCCUUUGUGACUAGAGAGCCCUUUGUGCAAAGCCACAGUCUGAAAGGCACUUAUUAUUCUGUGUCACAGUCACUCUUGUGUAUCUCACUUUCUGGUAGAUUUGGGCUGCUUGAGGGCGGGGGCUAUACCUGGUUCAUCUCUGGAUCCACUUUACCUACCAAGGGGCUGGCAUGAGCAAACAUUCACUAAAUGUUCAUGGUCUGAUUGUGGAAUGAAACAGACAUACUGUGGCAAAGGACACAUGAUGCUGGUCCAAUAGGCAGAUGUGUGCAGACGAUUUGAGUCCAAAGUCUGUAAUUCUGAAGAGUUUGCUAUCCUUAGGCCCCUGGAAAUCGUUCCAAUAGCAGAGUAGCAGAUUUCCUCGGCUACCAUGCCUCUACCGUGUCAAGAAUGUAUAAACUAUCUACUCAGUGCUCAGCUUUACAAUCAAUGAAAUGGAGGGUUCGAAAGAGCUAGAAGAUACCAUCUCUACCCCUAUGGACCAGGAAGCCUAGUCUGAAAGGCAGUGUGACCGAAAUGAGAACAUAUAAACCAAGAUCAACCCAUCUGCAGUUGCUUGGGAGAAUCAUUUAAUGUUUUUCAAUAAAGAAACUCCUGCUUCUAAUUUCCCUGGAUCU